AGAAUCAACGCUGGCGGCGUGCCUAACACAUGCAAGUCGAACGAGAAAGUGGAGCAAUCCAUGAGUACAGUGGCGUACGGGUGAGUAACACGUGACUAACCUACCCUCGAGUGGGGAAUAACCUCGGGAAACCGGGGCUAAUACCGCAUAACAUCUUCGGAUCAAAUGCGUAAGCAGCUUGAGGAGGGGGUCGCGGCCGAUUAGCUAGUUGGCGGGGUAAUGGCCCACCAAGGCAAUGAUCGGUAGCCGGCCUGAGAGGGCGCACGGCCACACUGGAACUGAAACACGGUCCAGACUCCUACGGGAGGCAGCAGUGGGGAAUUUUGCGCAAUGGGGGAAACCCUGACGCAGCAACGCCGCGUGGAGGAUGAAGCCCCUUGGGGUGUAAACUCCUUUCGAUCGGGACGAUUAUGACGGUACCGGAUGAAGAAGCACCGGCUAACUCUGUGCCAGCAGCCGC
rnacentral:rRNA from 1 species